AGAGUUUGAUCAUGGCUCAGGAUGAACGCUGGCGGCGUGCAUAACACAUUCAAGUCGAACGGAGUUGUUUCCUUCGGGGAACGACUUAGUGGCGGACGGGUGAGUAACGCGUGAAUAACCUGCCUGUGUGUGGGGGAUAACAGUUGGAAACGACUGCUAAUACCGCAUAAUGUAUCCGACUCGCAUGGGAUGGAUACCAAAGAUUUAUUGCGCACAGAUGGAUUCGCGUCCGAUUAGAUAGUUGGUGAGGUAACGGCCCACCAAGUCAACGAUCGGUAGCCGGACUGAGAGGUCGACCGGCCACAUUGGAACUGAGAAACGGUCCAGACUCCUACGGGAGGCAGCAGUGGGGAAUAUUGGGCAAUGGGCGAAAGCCUGACCCAGCGACGCCGCGUGAGGGAAGAAGGUCUUCGGAUUGUAAACCUUAGUCAACAGGGAAGAAGAAAGUGACGGUACCUGUGGAGGAAGCCACGGCUAACUACGUGCCAGCCGCCGCGGUAAUAC
rnacentral:rRNA from 1 species